UACGUAGGGUGCGAGCGUUGUCCGGAAUUAUUGGGCGUAAAGAGCUUGUAGGCGGUUUGUCGCGUCUGCUGUGAAAAUCCGGGGCUCAACCCCGGACUUGCAGUGGGUACGGGCAGACUAGAGUGUGGUAGGGGAGACUGGAAGUUCCUGGUGUAGCGGUGAAAAUGCGCAGAUAUCAGGAGGAACACCGAUGGCGAAGGCAGGUCUCUGGGCCACUACUGACGCUGAGAAGCGAAAGCAUGGGGAGCGAACAGG
rnacentral:rRNA from 1 species